CUCUUCUCUUUCUCUCAAAUCUCAAUCUCUCAAUUAUAGUUACUUUGCAACAAUUAGCCACUUUAAAUUUCUCUCAAAUAAAUAUUAUAAAGUCUUAUUAUAGUUUCAAUUAUUAAUUUUGCAAUUAUAAUAUUGUUGGUGGAGUUAGUGAUUUUGCAACAAUCUGAAGUAGCUUUGGUGGAUUUACAAUUUUAGCCGCCUUCACUUUGUUGGAAAUUAAUCCGGCAAUUUGGUACCUUCGUUCCAACUCUAUCUUUAUUUUUCGCAAUUUAAUUUACGCAAUUUAAUUCUAGCAAUUUAAUUUGUUGCAAUUUAUUAUCUUGUGAUUUAAAUUAAUUCUAUUUAAUAAUGACAAAGAGAUUUAGACGAGGUGCCGGUAGUAGUAGUGGUAUUGUUAGGGGUGGGCUUAAUGAGGAAACAUUUGUGGAAGAAACACCUAAUUUAGGUAUUGAUGUUGGUGGAAAUAAUCCACUUUUAGGUCAUGAGGCAAUGCAACAACAUUUUACCGACACUUUUAGUGAAAUUGAUGAUGAUGAUGAUGAUGAAACACAAGCCCCCGAAAAUCCCAUAGGAGAUACAUGUCCUGCACAAUCACAUACACAAGACAAACCGCCUAGAACUCGUAAGCCAACCGCUAAAAUUUGAAAAUUUAUGACUAAGGAUAGGGAAAGUCAAACUGUUAAAUGUACCCUAUGUGGACAAGUAUUUGCUUUUAGGCAAGGAACUAGUAAGGAUGGUGGAACGGGUACACUAAAUGGUCAUAUGAGAAAGAAACAUAUGGAUGUUUGGGGAGAGCAAACGGGUUCAAAUGUGGGGGGUAUUCAAAUGACGAUAGACCCAUGAACCGAUAGAAAUUUUAAGUAUGACAAGAAAAAAUAGCGUGUAGAAAUAGCUAAAAUGGUAGCUUAUGCUUGUUUACCAUUUUCCUUUCCUUCGGGUUUGGGGUUUGUUACUUACAUUCAACGUUGUUAUAAUCCGUUAUUUGAGGGUAUUCCUAGAAGUACUUGUAGAGCGGAUGUUAUAAAUUUGUAUAAAAAAUAUAGAUUUUAUAUGCGCCAUGUCUUUAAUUCUUUAAAUUGUAAUGUUUCUCUUACAACUGAUUUGGGUCUUAGUUUUAACAAGUUAGAUUUUUUUGCUAUUACAUGUCAUUGGGUUGAUGACAACUGGGUUAUGCAAAAAACAAUUAUAGCUUUAUUAUAUGAUGAAGGAAAAGGUCGUCACGAUGGAAAUAUUUUAGCGGAUUCAGUGUCUACUAUUAUGAGAUUUUUUAAUAUUUAUAGAAAAACACUUUGUAUUGCUUUAGAUAAUGCUUCUAAUAAUACAAAGGCGAUUGGUCUUUUAAAAAGAGAAUUAAACCCUCCGCUAAAAAAUAUUUUUCAUGUGAGAUGUAGUUGUCACAUUUUAAAUUUAAUUGUUAAAGAUGGUCUUGUGUGUUUUGACGAUUCUAUUCAAAAAGUUAGAGAUGCGGUUGCGUUUCUUUUUUGUAAUGCUAAUAGGGGAAGACUUCGAGAUUUUAAGAAUGCUUGUGUGAAAAAUAACCUUAGACCUAGGAAAAUUCAAGUAGAAAUUUAGACUAGGUGGAACUACACUUACAUUAUGCUACAACAAACAUAUGAGUAUAUGAUUCUCAUACAACAAGUUCACAACAAAUAUAAUAUUAAUAGUGAUGAUUGGUUAAAUUUUACGCAUUGGGAAGAUGUUAAAGAAUGUGCUGAACUCUUAGAAUUUUUUUAUAAUGCAACUCUUGCUUUUUCUAGACAAUUCUAUCCUACGGUAACCGGAAUUUUAGCCUACUUAGCAGAAAUAGCUAGAGUUUUACAAGAAUAUAAAUAUAAACCCGGUUAUCAAGCGGCUAUUUUUGAAAUGAUAAUAAAAUUUAAGAAGUAUUUUUUCCCAUCCCAACUUUAUUUAUAUUGGGUUCUCUUUUAAAUCCUUGUUUAAAAGUGUCUUAUACUAAAGCAUUGGUUGGUCAAAUUUAUACAUUUUUAAAAAUUGAAUAGGGAGUUCAACCAUCUUUAGCUGAAGCCGAACUCGCUAUUGAGGACGAGUUUAGAAAAGUUUUUACUCAUUAUUCUAAUUUGGAAGAACAUGUUACUCCCGUUGCUCCACGCCUUACUAGGGCUGGGCAUAAAUACCGAAAACUGAAAAACCGGACCGAACCGAAUUAAUUCGGUUUUUCGGUGUUCGGGUUUUCGGGUUUUCGGUUCGGGUUCGGUUUCAAUUUUCAAAAAUUUCGGGGUUCGGUUCGGUGUUCGGGGUUUAGUAUUCGGUUUUUCGGGUUUUCGGUUUAAACCGAAAUAUUAUAUAUUAGCCCAAAAAUAUUAAAUAAUCCAAGCCCAUGCCAAUUAAAUUUAAGCCCAAAAAAAAUAGAACCCAAGCCCUGUUUCAUUCUUUCUUUUGUAUCUCUAAUUACCCAAGCCCACUUUCACUCUUUUGUUUUUGUAUCAAUCUUCAGACCUCAAACCUAACGUAUCCCUAAUUUUCACUUCUCAGUCAUCAUACCAUGGCUAGUCAAUCAAACAAGCCUCAAUCUGUUUAUGACUUCACUGUUAAGGAUUAUACGGCUUAAGCUGUAACUGUGAUGAGAUAUCGGAUGGCGAAAGCUCUUUUAAUUUUUGCAGGAUGCCAAGGGCAAUGAUGUUGGUCUCAGCAUUUACAAGGGGAAGGUCCUUAUCAUUGUCAAUGUUGCAUCACAGUGACAAAUGUGGAUAUCAAGGAACUGGAUGAAUUGGACGUCUUAGCAUGGUGGAAGAAGUACAAGGCAAGUCAUCCGAUACUCUCAAGAAUGACUCGAGAUAUCCUUACGGUUCAAGUAUCAACCGUGGCUUCGGAGAGCGCAUUUAGCCAAGGAAGACAGCAAAUUGGAGACCAUAGAUAUUCAUUAUCCAGCUUUAGCUUGCAAGUACUAGUGUGCAUUCGCGAUUGGAUUAAAUCGGAGCGACGCAACCAAAACUUAGAAGCGGAGGAAGGGGAAGAGGAAGAAAUUGAAGAUUUGAUAGCAAGUGGACCGGACCAAAUGGAAGACUUUGAAGAUAUCUCCAUGACUGAAUAUGAUAUGGGGGAAUUUAACGAAAUGAUUGAGAAUUGGUGAUUUUAUUAUUCUACUAUUUCUUUACAACUCAUGUAUUAUUUGCAAGUUAAAAAAAAACUACAACUUGCAAAUAAAUGUUAUCCAAGAAUGAAUAAAUUAUAUGGCUCA